rnacentral:lncRNA from 1 species
UCGGGUAUGGGGCGUUACACAUCCAACACUCGUGUAGUAUUCUCGAGCCAAAACUCAGCUCUUUCAGCAUCAUCACUGAUCUUAGCUCUGAAUUCCUUAGCCCUAUACUUUUUAAGCUUAUCUACAGGGGCUUUACCAAUUCUUAUAGGUGCCAUACCUCAUGGCAAAUCUUCAUCAGGUUGGUAAGGGGGCGGGGGAGGUCGUGGCAUAUUGGGGCGAUUUCUCAAAUAAUCCCUAAACCACUCGUCCAUCAUGUUAAAUAAGGCGAUUCUGG